rnacentral:rRNA from 1 species
GAUGAACGCUGGCGGCGUGCCUAAUACAUGCAAGUCGAGCGAACAGACGAGGGGCUUGCUCCUCUGACGUAAGCGGCGGACGGGUGAGUAACACGUGGAUAACCUACCUAUAGACCUGGGAUAACUUCGGGAAACCGGAGCUAAUACCGGAUAAUAUAUUGAACCGCAUGGUUCAUUAGUGAAAGACGGUUUUGCUGUCACUUAUAGAUGGAUCCGCGCCGCAUUAGCUAGUUGGUAAGGUAACGGCUUACCAAGGCGACGAUGCGUAGCCGACCUGAGAGGGUGAUCGGCCACACUGGAACUGAGACACGGUCCAGACUCCUACGGGAGGCAGCAGUAGGGAAUCUUCCGCAAUGGGCGAAAGCCUGACGGAGCAACGCCGCGUGAGUGAUGAAGGUCUUCGGAUCGUAAAACUCUGUUAUUAGGGAAGAACAAAUGUGUAAGUAACUAUGCACGUCUUGACGGUACCUAAUCAGAAAGCCACGGCUAACUACGU